AAAGUAGUGAAGUAAAAUUUACUUUUAGUUUCGACCUAAAAUUAGGGCAUAAGCCCCUUACUUUU
rnacentral:tRNA from 2 species